UUUGCAUCAAAAAACAAAAGCACAAGAAGAAAAGAUUAAAGUCUUACAAAAGGAAAGGGAAGAUAAGGACGAAUCCAUUGAUAUCCUUAGGAAAGAAUUAAACAGAACAGAACAGAUAAGAAAAGAGUUGAGCAUUAAGGCUUCCUCUCUAGAGGUUCAAAAGGCUCAAUUAGAAGGUCGUUUGGAAGAAAAAGAAAAUUUGGUGAAACUUCAACAAGAAGAGUUGAACAAACACUCUCAUAUGAUAGCAAUGAUUCACAGUUUAAGUGGUGGAAAAAUAAGUCCAGAAACUGUGAAUCUUAGUAUAUAGACAUCAUGGCAUUUUGGAAUUUGUAAUAAUGAUAAUUUGAGUGUAUUUAUGUAUUGGAGGGGGGUGGUUAAAGAAGGUUACUUGUGACUCCAAAACAAUGGGAAAUUCUUAUUUAGUUAAUAAUUUAGUAAAGAUCAUAAUUUGAUGCAUGUUUUAUUUGGUGUUUUGAAUUAG
rnacentral:lncRNA from 1 species